UACGAAGGGGGCUAGCGUUGUUCGGAAUUACUGGGUUUAAAGGGUGCGUAGGUGGGUUGGUAAGUCAGUGGUGAAAUCUCCGAGCUUAACUUGGAAACUGCCAUUGAUACUAUCAGUCUUGAAUAUUGUGGAGGUCAGCGGAAUAUGUCAUGUAGCGGUGAAAUGCGUAGAUAUGACAUAGAACACCAAUUGCGAAGGCAGCUGGCUACACAUAUAUUGACACUGAGGCACGAAAGCGUGGGGAUCAAACAGG
rnacentral:rRNA from 1 species